rnacentral:rRNA from 1 species
AUAAAUGGCCGCGGUACCUUGACUGUGCUAAGGUAGCAUAAUCAGUUGGCUUCUAAUUAGGGUCAGGAAUGAAUGGAGUUACGUGGUUCAGCUGUCUCCUAAAUAUUUAUUUGAAAUUACUAUGUAGAUGAAAAAGUCUAUGUUCUGAAAAAAGACGAGAAGACCCUAAGAGUUUUACUUAAUGUGAUGUUUAUUAUUCAUAAUGGUUUUGUUGGGGCAACAUAGGAGCAAAUAGAUUAACCUCCUUAAUAAACUAACCGAUUAUUUUAAAUAUGAAAAAACUACCUUAGGGAUAACAGCAUUAUGUAAAAAAUAAGUUUGUGACCUCGAUGUUGGACUGGGAAAUUUAAAGGCUAGCCGUUUUUAAAGAAAGUUCNSUUCGAAC